rnacentral:rRNA from 1 species
CGCGGGAUUGGCGGGCGGGGCGGGCACGAGGGGACGGGGCGCAGCAGGCGCGAAACCUUUACAAUGCACGAAAGUGUGAUAAGGGGAUCCUAAGUGCUCAUGCUUCGGCAUGGGCUUUUUUCAAGAGUAAAUAUCUUGGAGAAUAAGUGGUGGGUAAGACUGGUGCCAGCCGCCGCGGUAACACCAGCGCCACGAGUGGCAACCGCGUUUAUUGGGCCUAAAGCGUCCGUAGCCGGUUGAAUAAAUCUUUUGUGAAAUCGUCAGGCUUAACUUGACGGCAGGCAGAAGACACUAUUCAACUCGAGACCGGGAGGGGUCAAAGGUAUUCCUGAGGGAGCGGUAAAAUGUGAUAAUCUCAGGAGGAUCACCUAUGGCGAAGGCAUUUGACCAGAACGGUUCUGACGGUGAGGGACGAAGGCUGGGGGAGCGAUCCGGAUUAGAUACCCGAGUAGUCCCAGCAGUAAACUCUGUGAGCAAGAUGUUGCAUAUCCUUGAGGAUGUGCAGUGUCGAAACGAAGGUGUUAAGCUCACCGCCUGGGAAGUACGGUCGCAAGACUGAAACUUUAAGGAAUUGGCGGGGGAGCACCACAAGGGGUGCGGCGUGCGGUUUAAUCUAACUCAACGCAGAGAACCUUACUAGAAGCGACGGCAGGAAGAAGGCCUGGCUGAAGACCAUGCUUGACGAGCCGAGAGGUAGUGCAUGGCCGCCGUCAGCUCGUGCUGUAAAGUGUCCAGUUAAGUCUGGCAACGAGCGAGACCUAUACCCUCUAUUGCUAACGGCAACAUGUUGGACCGAGCACUUUGAGGGGACUGCCUUGGAAACAAGGAGGAAGGUGUAGGCAACGGUAGGUCUGUAUGCUCCGAAUCUUCUAGGCUACACGCGCGCAACAAUGGUAGUGACAAUGGGUCGCAACUCCGAAAGGAGAAGCUAAUCCUCCAAACAUUACCCCAGUUCGGAUCGUGGGUUGUAACUCACCCACGUGACGCCGGAAUCCCUAGUAAUCAGACGUCAUCAUCGUCUGGUGAAUAUGUCCCUGCUCCUUGCACGAGUUCACCGAAUCACUAGU